rnacentral:rRNA from 1 species
UGAGGAAUUUUGCGCAAUGGGAGCAAUCCUGACGCAGCAACGCCGCGUGGGUGAUGAAGGCCUUCGGGUCGUAAAGCCCUGUCAGGUGGGAAGAAUGCCACAAGGAUGAAUAAGCCUUGUGGGUGACGGUACCACCAGAGGAAGCACCGGCUAACUCCGUGCCAGCAGCCGCGGUAAUACGGAGGGUGCGAGCGUUAUUCGGAAUUACUGGGCGUAAAGCGCGUGUAGGCGGGAGUGCAAGUCUGAUGUGAAAGCCCCGGGCUUAACCUGGGAAGUGCAUUGGAAACUGCAUUUCUUGAGUGCUGGAGAGGAAGGGGGAAUUCCCGGUGUAGAGGUGAAAUUCGUAGAGAUCGGGAGGAAUACCAGUGGCGAAGGCGCCCUUCUGGACGGCAACUGACGCUGAGACGCGAAAGCGUGGGGAGCAAACAGG